rnacentral:rRNA from 1 species
UACGUAGGGCGCAAGCGUUGUCCGGAAUUAUUGGGCGUAAAGAGCUCGUAGGCGGCCUGUUGCGUCCGCUGUGAAAUCCCGGGGCUCAACCCCGGGCCUGCAGUGGAUACGGGUUGGCUAGAGGCAGGCAGGGGAGAACGGAAUUCCUGGUGUAGCGGUGAAAUGCGCAGAUAUCAGGAGGAACACCGGUGGCGAAGGCGGGUCUCUGGGCCGAUACUGACGCUGAGGAGCGAAAGCGUGGGGAGCGAACAGG